CCUGCUUUAUUUUUUAUUUUCAAGUGUCAAUAAUCUUUAGUGGGAACUGACCUAUUAUAUUAGGUUUGUAGAUGCAACAAUGUAUUUGAAUCUACCUUAUUGUGUUUCCUGUAUGAAUAAAGUGAGGAUAACUCAAAUUUCUGUGAGACUUAUAUAUGCUAUUGUUUUUUAUUCUGAUUUCUUGUCUUGUGUUGUGUGUCUCUUAAUGGCUUUUUUUACAAUUUACUAUAAUGACAUUACCCUUUGAGAAUUAUUGGCUAUGAUUGGAUUCCCUUAUCUUCCAAACUAGUUUUAACUAUGAACAAUGUAUACAUACUCUUCUGGAUUUGCAAACUCAAUGAGAUGUAGGAAAGGGAAAAAAGAUGGCAAGUUUUUCUAGCAGUGCCAGUGCUUCGAUGAUGACGAAAUGUACUGCUGACAGUUUGAAUUCUGAUUGUACGUGUGCGGGUUCUUUGACCUUCUCUCUAGACCUUGGUGAAGCCGGUUUCUUGGGAUUAACUGGAUUACAGAAUCUAGGAAAUAUUUGCUUCAUGAACAGUGCCCUUCAAUGUGAAAUGUGUAAGUGGAUCAAGCUACUCAUGGUGGUGGCAGAGCAUAUGGUGCAUUGCUGUUGGAUGCUGGAGGUACCCUCUUGAAGUUGAUCAAUCUUGUUCAAUAUACUUAUGCCGUUAUUGGAUCAAGAUAUGGAGGUCAGGUCAGAGCGGAAUUACAACUUCUAGAAAGGAGACUGAUACAUGUAAAAUAUUUUCAGGAGUUUCAGAUGGUGUUACUACAGAAACUCCAAUCCACGUAUUUGUGCCUAUCUCUUAUUUAUGGGCAAAAUACCUCAAUUUUCCAUAAUGGUUUUUUGGGAUGAAGGGAAAAUGUAUAUUGGCAUUCCAUUACCAGAAUAUGUUUUGUACUCUUAUAAGGUAACUGGUUUUACUAACUCUAUGGAUUCAUUUGGGAUGAAUCGCUCCAAAGAACUAAAUGAAAUUUCUCCCGUGAUCCUGCUACCUGUGAGUUAUUAGAAAGAGAAUAUCAAUUGCAUUAAGUUGUUUUUAUACUAUAGCUCUUUUCUUGGAAUUGACUGAUGUUGGUGAUAAUGGAUUGUGGGAAUUCACUCUAGAAGUGAAGUAAAAUAAAAAUUAGUUUUGUAUCCAUAAAGAUGACUUAGGUUAGAGAAUGAAAUCUUGUAAAGAUGACUAUAAUAUAAUAAUUUACACAUACACGGGCUACUUUACGUAUGUCAACCCCCUAAUGCUUGAGCCUCAAUAUAGUCGAACCGGACUUCAAACUCGAACUUGUUUUUUAGGUAACAAAAUAGCUUCAUCAUGUAUUCAAUGCUUUAAGCUCAAAUAAUUUCAGAACUGCUCAUCUCAUAUACCCAGUGUAUAAAAUGUGGGGGCUUUAUUAACCUAUUGACCAUUUUCUGUUCCUAUUACAUUGUUAACUUAGUUCAAUUUUUUGUGUCUCUGCUUCUGAUGAGAUGGCAAAAUCACUGGAUUCUGUUCACAAUACUACGUACAGGACAUUCGAACUGAAAUACAUAUUAGGGGAGCCCUAUGAAUAAAUCAAAUGUAUUGUAAAUUUUUGUUAAAAACCUAUAUGAAUCUAUUGACCAGAUACCUUUAUUGAAUUGCAUAUGAUACUUUCAAAAGUUAUUUUGCACAAUCAAGUGCAGUUUAAGUGUCCGUUUAAAAUGUUUGCUGCUUCUCAUUUAUGCAAUGUUCUGUAACUUAAUCUGCUUGAGAUCAGUUGUGCAUUGUUUUCUGAUUGUUAUGAUGUUUUCCCAUUAAAGGGAGGUUGGGAGAAUGAUGAAACUGUUGAAGAGGCUGCUGUAAGAGAAGCUAUAGAAGAAGCAGGAGUUCGAGGUGAUCUAAUGGUGAGAAAUGUGAAUUUAAUAACUUUUGAGCUUCUGCAAUAAUGCUUUUGAUUUUUCUGUAAUAUCACGAUGGAUUUAAGAGUCUGAAUGUUUUGACUUUUGAUGAUCUCAUAAUGGGAAUCUAGGUUCGGUGCAUAUAGUAAAGUCAUAUCAUCUUCGGUCCCUGUAAUUUUUUUGACUGAAAUGGUUCCUAUAAUAUUUACCUUUUUCACUUCAGUCGAUGUUUGCUUUGUUUCCGUCCCUAUAAAAUACUUUUUUUGGAUUUGUUUUAGUCCCUGUGAGGAUCACUAACACCACUGCCAAUAGCAGCUGCAAAAGUACUAGUUGAUCCCGAUCCUAAUCCUGUUUCCCAAACAUCCCAAUUGUUGUGAAUGUAUGAAGGAAGAUGAAUUCUAAUCCUUUUUAGUCAACAGGGUUAUUGUCAUGUUGGUGAUGUUUUGAUAAUAUUACACAACAUUGGUACCAUUGUUUUGCAGCUUGCAGUUUGAAAAUACCUUCUACCAUAGAAUUCUCAAGGCUAGGGUGUAAUUAAAACAUUUAUGGUAUCAUAACAAAUCUAUAGAGAUGUGAAGAAAACUGAGUUCUAACAGAAAUCUGUGUCUUAUGAAUCCCAUCUUGUGCUAAUGAAUGAGGUUGCAUUAAAAUAUUUAUUAAAUCUAAUGUGUUUCCAUACUAGCAUCUAUUUUAUAAGAUAUUAUGAACCUAUCUUGUGAUAUCUUCAUGUUGUUUUGAAGUAUUUUGGAAUUUGGAUUGUCUCAUAGGGUUUGUUUAUCAUCUCAAAUUGUUGCAAAUUAUUUUAUCAGAAAGUUUUCAUGUUUGUUUGUAAUAGUUAGUAUAAAUGAAAGUUAAGGUUUAGUCUUUUUGUAUCAUAAUGUAACAAUUAAUCAAUCAUAUCAAACCAUAAUCAUAAUUUAAAUUUUUUAUUUUUGCUGUUCUGUUUAACUGCAACUUCGACAACCUAAAGGAGUAAUGCAAUAUGAACUCAGAGUCAUUGAAUAAUAUGUCUUCAUUUAUCUUUGGCAUCUCACCAUUUUGAUCUUCACUUUUUUCAGAUAGCUUAAAUUUUCUUUUUGUCUAGUAUUAGAACAUGUUUAAUUUUCCAUUUGAGCAAGAUUGAGGAGCAAAAUCUACAAGAUCAAAUGCAAAUGAUUGAAGAGGAUAAGGAAAUAGAAAUGUUGCCCAAACAAAAGCCAAAGAAGAAGAAGAAA